UACAGAGGGUGCGAGCGUUAAUCGGAAUUACUGGGCGUAAAGCGCACGUAGGUGGCGACGUAAGUCGGGUGUGAAAGCCCCGGGCUCAACCUGGGAAUGGCGAUGGAUACUGGCGCGCUAGAGUGCGGUAGAGGAGAGUGGAAUUCCCGGUGUAGCAGUGAAAUGCGUAGAGAUCGGGAGGAACAUCAGUUGCGAAGGCGGCUCUCUGGACCAGCACUGACACUGAGGCACGAAAGCGUGGGGAGCAAACAGG
rnacentral:rRNA from 1 species